rnacentral:hammerhead_ribozyme from 1 species
AUCCAGAUGACGAGUCCUAAAUAGAACGAAGUGGACAUCCUGGAU